UCCUCCAGUGUCUCCCCCGGCGCCUGCACCACCAGUGAACUCGCCCCCUAUCGUCAUCGUCUGCUGCUGCACCUGCUGCAACGUGUGUGUGAGCAGAGGCACAGAGGGCAAUGUGACCAUGUGCAACUUCAAUCCCCUAAGCUGCCACCAAUUGCCACUGACUUGGUCUCAGUCUAGUGACCAGGGCCAGUGCACCAACCUGGACCUCCCGAAGACCCUCUGCUCUCACGUUUCCUGCACCUCCAUGGCCAGCUUGCCCCCAGGCCAGGAGUGCUUGCCCCUGGCCUCCUGUUCUUAGUGCCAUCAUCUCCCCGACGGUUGUCCCCAGCCACUUCCUUUGCUCCCUCCCUCCAGGAGCCCCACUGUCUCUCCCUCCCAAGUAGCAGACCUCUCAGACACCACAGAGCCAAAAUGGAGAGGAUUUUGCUGCUAAAUUGGACCCAGAUAUCUGUUCUUGGAUUUUAAUUUUUAAAGAGUUGGAGUUUGUCGCUUAUUAGGAAGUUUGUCAUCCAAAGAUAAAUCUCAGAUGUGUUUCUGUUGCAUCCAGAAGUACAAAACUUCCUGGGGCCAUGUGGCUAGGCAUGGAUGAGUCCUACCACUUCAUCACCGACACACAGGUUCUUAGGUCAAGCUCUCUCUGAAGAGCAAUCCCAAAUUCAUGCUGACUGGUCCCGAGUAAGUUUAAUGGUUGCCGAGGCACACCUGGGGCUACAGGUGUGUACCACUGCACCGAUCUCUUCAUGAAGAUGCUGGGGACCCCAAACUCAGGUCCCCGUACCUGCACGCCAAGCACUAACUGAAGUGCAUUAACUUUCUAGCCCCCUAGUUAACCAUUCGUUUUGUUCUUUAUAUAGGUUCUGUUUUGCAAAGAAGUUUCAAGUCAUGUAUAUACAGAGAUUUUAACAAAGGCCAGAGUGCUCAUACCACACUGUCAGA